rnacentral:rRNA from 1 species
GACGAAGGUGGCGAGCGUUGUUCGGAAUCACUGGGCUUAAAGCGCACGUAGGCGGCGACGUAAGUUGGGUGUGAAAUCCCUCGGCUCAACCGAGGAAGUGCGCCCAAAACUGCAUGGCUUGAGUCUCGGAGAGGAUGGCGGAAUUCCCCAAGUAGAGGUGAAAUUCGUAGAUAUGGGGAGGAACACCGGUGGCGAAGGCGGCCAUCUGGACGAAGACUGACGCUGAGACGCGAAAGCGUGGGGAGCAAACAGG